rnacentral:lncRNA from 1 species
GAGGGCGAGGAGUGCGUGGAAAUUAAAAAAGCUUCGGCCUAAUUACAAAAUCGCCUGGUCCAAAAUCGUUUAUUCUUCGGUGAAAUAAAAUUUAGCUCAAUUUUGAUUUUUUCUGAUAUUAUAUCAACUUCUCGUGUACUUUCUCAAGAGAAGUUGGGGUGAACCUUUCAAAAGGUUUGCUUAAUGGCUGUGAAAUAGUGGACUGACAGAAUCUGUUGCUAACUGGUUUCAGCAGAUAGACAUCAAAAGCCAGAAUGGUUUUUUCUAUGGUACAUAACAUAUGGCAAACAACAGCUUAUACAUUUUGGAGGGAAAGAAAUGCAAGACGAUAUGGGGAUAUUCUUUGUACAACAGGCGGAUGUAGCAUAAAAUCUUGGUGGGACAAAUCAU